GUCAGUGUCUCCCACAUGACCUGGUCUCCUCAUUGGCCUGACUCCAAGCUAGAAUCAGAGUCGGACCAAGCCUUGGGGAGGAGGCAGGCAGCCUGGUUCAGCCUCACCGACAUGCCUGUGCGUUAUGGCUGCAGCAAAUGUGCGGAACGUGAAAAGAACCUAGAAGAGAAUUCUACUAGAAACGGCACUGUGAAGUCCAUCUACAGGGGACAGAGACGGCAGGAAGGAGGUGACGCAGAACCGAACGUAGGGGACAAGUAGCAAUUUGAGGACAAGAUGCUCAUGGAUGGGGGCCCAGCACAAGAGGGCCCAGAGAUGCCACAUGAGCAAGGCCGGCCUCUGGCUCUGAGUCAGGAGAACAGACGUACAAGUGAUGAGUGUUGGGAUUUGCCGACAAAUAGCAGCAAGUAUGAAA
ensembl:lncRNA